GUGCUCCUUGGGCAGCACACACGCUAAAAUGGGAAGGAUGCAGAGAAGACUUGCGUGGCCCCUGUGCAAGGAUGGCACGCGAAUUCGUGAAGUGUUCCAGAUUUCC